UUCAGAACAUAAUUAUACUGAACAUACUAUUCUGUGACCUGUGUUUCAAAUUAGUGAUAUGUCAUGAACCCAUUAUCAUGUCAAUAAUUAUACCUAUGUAUCAUCAUUUUUAAUGGCUGAAUCGUAUUCCAUUUGAUGGACAUACAACAUGUUUAACCGAUCACCUAGUGUUGGAUAUUUAGUUUGUUUCUUUUCUUUCUUUGUCUCUUUCACUUUUCCUCCCUCCUUCCCUCCCUCACUCUACCUUCCCUAUAUAACUAUUCUAAAAUAUAUACCCUUGAUCUUUUUGCGUGAAUCUGAAGCAUUUGCUUAGAACAAAUUCUUAGCUGCAGAGUGUUGGGUCAAAGAGUGUCCCCAUUUCUCAGGCUUCUGAUGCAUUCUCUACUCUGUCCUCUGAGAAGAUUGUACUGAUGUCUAUAGAGAAUAUGGCAAUUCUAACCGCAGAAUUACACCAUCUAGUAAGGCUUCUCUGAAGGUGGAAUGUUUGCACUGAGAAAUCUAGGAUGGAGAUGAGUUAAGGCAAGGGAGAGGGAUGGUGAUAAUGGUGGCGGUGGUCAUGGCAAACAUUCCUGGCAGAGGAACACACAUGUGCAAAGAACACUUGGCAGGAGGGAAUAAGGGACCCUCAAAGAGGCAGAUUGAGCACAAAGAAUAAGGGAGGCUAUUUUAUUCAGGGUUCUUUAGUUAUAGGAAUUGGCUCAUAUGAAUAAGGAGGCUGGCAAGUCCCAAGAUUGCAGCCAGCAGGCUGGAGACCCAGGAAGAGCCAAUGUUUCCGUUUGAGUCCAAAGGUAGGAAAAAUCCCCAGCUCAAGGCAGUGAGGCAGGAGGAGUUCACUCUUCCUUGAGAGAGGAUCAGCCUUUCGGUUCUAUUCAGGCCUUUAACUGAUUAGAUGAGGCCCACCCACACUAGAGAAGGCAAUCUGCUUUACUCAGUCUACUGAUUCAAAAAUUAAUCUCAUCUAAAAACUUCUUCACAGACACACCCAGAAUAACAUUUGACCAAAUAUUUGCACAUCUGGUGGCCCAGUCAAAUUGACACAUAACAUUAACUAUCACAGGAGAAACAGGAGAGGAGGUUCAAGGAGUGGACAAUGGGAGAGGGAAUGAGGAUGGAAAGAGAAUGAGACCAUACAGGGCCUUAUGGACCACACAAAGGCUUUUGGUUUUACUAUUAAGAGAUAUUGGAAGUCACUAAGUAGUUUCAGCAAGGCUGGAGGUGCGGUGGCGUAACCACAUUCAUGGUAACCCUAUGAAAUGUGUAGGGAGGGCAUUGCUUUCCCUUUUCACAGAUGAAAAGACUGGGCUAGAACAUUUAGGUAGCUGCCCUAGGUCCUCUCUUUUUCCACAGUGCAAAUUAAGGUUCUUUUGGCCAUACUAAACCACUAUUUGUGGGUCAACAUAUGCAUAGAGAACUUUGACAAAGGAUUCCCCAAAUACACUGAUGGGGGCUAUAGUACACGCUCUCAGUACUCCACCAACAUGCUCUUGUUUCAACUUGGAAGCACCAAGCAGUUAACGUCCCCAGAAGCCACCCAACGGCAGAUGGAGAGCUAGUGGAUAAAUACCACUUCCUGGAAGUCCCGGGUUGUGGAAUAAUUGUGAGGCAUUGUGCUCCACAGCGCUCUCCCAGUGGGACUGGAGCUCCCAACGGGACUCUGCUCCAGUUGCCCUGGGCAAUUGUCUUUUUGAUAACACCAUCUGUAUUGACUGCCUUCCCAUUCCUGUCUUGCUUCCCUGCUACCCUGAUGGGGUGUUUCCCGAGACCACUUUCCCAAAUAAAUAACUUACGCUUAAGCCAUUGUCUCAGGAUCUGCUUCUAGGGUUGCCGAGCCAAAGGCAAAGAUGCGCCUUCCAUCAGAUUCCUGCUUCUGUGCAGUUUUACUGUGGUCCCUUGGAGCUUGACAGGCACUUGGGCUCUGUAGCUGGAGGUUUUAGUGAUAAGCAUGGGGCCAAGACUCUCAACAUUCAUUCCUUUCUUCCUCUCAUGACUACAGAGCUGGUGUCAGGAAGGGACCUCCGUGGGCAGUAUGCGUAAAUCUUGGCUGCAAUGCAUUUCUGCUUAAGGCAGGAUUUGACAGUGUGUACCCGCCAGCAUGCCAGCAACGGUGUUGACACCAUACACGAGGCUGAAGGAUUAAUCAUCGGCCCUUGCCAAUUCCAGGAUAACACUCCUGCCAUCUUCUCACCUCUCACACCUCUGCUAUCCAAUGGGUCCCUGAGGCUGCAUCAGUAAUUUAUAUGAGAACCCACAAUAUCAGGACUCUGGCAUGCUUUCCAACAGUCCACCAGAUUUUGGCUUUUAUCCUCCCUUCUGGGUCAGGGUUGGCACUUUGUUUUCCCAAACCGCAAGUGGCAUCAGGUGAAGCAUUAUCUCCAGGCUGGACACUUGCCGUCAUUUUCUAAGGACACCGGUCCUGGGGAUGUGAAUUAAAUGCUCAUAAUUAGAAGGUGCCUUUCUGCCAGGCUUCUUUAGGGAAAAUUUCCUCCUCACUCUAUCUGAUACUCCCAUGGAGAUGAGGGGGGAAAAUUCAUAUCUGGCAGCAGGCAGUGGUAUCAGAAAUAAUGGCUUGAGGCACCCGAAAAAUGUAAUCAAUAUUUACCUGCUGAGAGGUCCCUUGAUGGGAAGGAAAUUGACUCUCUUCCCCACUGCAUAUGUCGCAUUUUGAUAUCCUCCCUCCUUUGUGUCUUUGGCAGAGGGGGAAGUGCAUAAUCUUGGUUCUUCAACAGGAAAAAACUCUAGGAAACCAUUAUAUGGUCAGUCUGUAUAAGAUAAUCCAUUACUGAGGGAGGAGCUGCUUAAAAUAUUCAAGCUGUUCCCCUGGUUCUCUGCCUGGUUUCUGUUUCUUUGUGCCCAAACUGUUGCAGUCAGGGAUAUAAAUUUCCUUUCUCUCCUUCACCCCUUGCCUAGAACAAAUAAUAAUUGAUGACAGUUGUUUCAUUUUCUGUGUCACCUCCUAAGAGAAGUCUCCUGGAGAAAAAAAAAAACUGAUGUGGGUUGAUAAUGUUUCUUUGGGCUGUUUUAUCAUGGGUCUGGAGGUGUGAGUACAGAAUAUCCCUAUAAGACUCCAAUGCAUAUCAUCUAGAUGAUUUUUUCCCCAGCAGAAGUGUACUGGUCUGAGUUUCUGGUUGCAAACAAAACAACAGAACGGAUGCUAGUGAAAUUAAAUAGAAAAGGAUCUAUGGUUUGGAAAAUAAGUAGGAAGUAAGGGAGGCAAAACCUGGCCAGGACUUGUCCUCAGGACCAGCCAGCCUGGAGUGUCCCUGCUGGUGUGGUCGCCCCUGGAGACUUGCCAUUCUGCAACUGCUCUAUAAACCAGCCUCAGACACAUAAGUGUCUCUGAAGAUUGCUGUCUUUGCACUCUCUGUUCAUAUUCCAAGUCCUGGAGAGAGGCAUCUCCCGGCUGAGCUUCAGUCACAGCUAGCUACCUAGCUUCCAGGUGUCAGGGACAAGACCCCAUCCCUUCUGCCUCUGUAGAGGAGUCUUUGAAAAUCCAGCCUUUUCCAUUACUCACCCAUUCUCUUCCCUCCAGGCACGCCCUGUCUUUCUUCCCUCUUAAUUUUCUCCCAUCGCUCUUGUAUCAUCCAACAUAUAAUUUACUUAUCUAUAGUGUUUAUGGUCUACAUUCCUCCACUAGAAUCAGAGUGCCAUGAGAGCAGGGAUUUUGGUCUUCUUGGUUCAUGCCUAAAUCCACAGUCCCUAGAAUAGUGCCUGACACAUGGCAGGCACUUAAUAAAUGUAAGUUGCGUAAAUUAAUUAAUCAAGUAGGAGGGAUGGUGUGGAUGCCGGGCUGCUCCAAAGGAUAAAUAUCUAUUGCAAGAAAUAUUUCUCAUUCUUGAUCAAAGAAAUGGUCACUUUCAGAAAGAGCUCUUUGUUUUUAGCAAGAUGAGAUGGUCAGCAACUCAUGCACUACAGAGAAAAAUACUGCCUUGUGAGAUUUUUUUCCUUCAGAUUUUCUUCUACACAAAGUUGACAUUUUUGGUUAGUAUCCAUUGGUGUCUGUUUGUCUCUAAAAUGAAUCAUAGAGGCCUCAGCAAGGAUCCUGGAACAUGGCAGAGUUAUGGACAGGCUCAUCUCUUCCUACUUUGGGCAGAGAAUAAAGGGAGAGUCUGGUUCCUCUGCUCAAGUCUUUGGACAAAUGGUGCCACUUGGCAUGGGCAUUCAGGGUGGCAGCUUUGUGGGAGAGGAAAUGUAGACCUCAUUGUUUAAGUUCCCCAACCCUGAUCACAUGCUUAAAGACCAGCAUUUAUUGAGCACCCACUGUAUGCCAGGCACUCUUCUAAGCACAUUGUAUGUUCUGGAUUCUUUAGUCCACCACACUAUUAUCCCCACAUUGCAGCUGGAAUGCUGGGACACACUUGGGAUUUAUGUGAGCCAUGCCAAGUUGCAUGAGGACUUUCCCUCUUCCAGAGUCAUGGAGAGGAACCUGGCUGCAACACCAAGCCAGGCGAGCCUCUUCUGAGAAUGAGAGAGGAGAGUGCCUACCUGAGAGGCCCAAUUUUUCUCAACACCCAUUUCCUCUAAGGGGAUUAUGUUAACUGAGAUUUGGCCCAAAGGGCUAUCUGCGUUUGAUGGUAUGGAGCCAUGCAAGAAUAAGACGUAUAGAAGAAAGUUGUGAAAACAAAGUGUUAGAACAUUCUAGGAAUACCUAUAGCUACCCUAUAAAGAGAAUUUUUUGCUGCAUUGGGGUAAGGUUAUUGAAAUUCACAUCCUACUUCUGACCCUUAUUCAUGGACACAAAGGAAGCACGUUAGCUAUCAUUAUCCUUAACACGCGGGAUUUGGGGAAAUCCAUUUUUUCUUAUGACAUAAUGCUAAUGAACCACAACUGACUUUCUCCACAGCAAUGUAGUCACUGCAAUCAAAUGAACACAAACUCAAAAUGUGCUUUUCUUUAUUCUGGGGCCAGGGAAUUAAUUAGGUGUGAGUUGGAGAAGGAUUAAGAUACAAGAUGCCAGAUAAGACAUAAGAUAUCCAAUUAAAUUUGAAUUUUAGAUAGAUAAUGAAUAUUUUUAAAAAUAUAAGUAUGUCUCAUGCAACAUUUGGAAUAUACUUACACUAAAAAAUUAUUCAUUGUUUGUCUGAAAUUCAAAUUUCACUGGGCAUCCUAUAAUUUUGUUUGGUAAAUCUUGCAAUCCUAAGAAGAACAUGGGUAUUGCUUCAUCUAUGGCCAUUCCUGGCCUCACAUUCGUCUCCUGCUCCCCACCUUCCUGCUUAAAUGUGAAAUCAAAAGUCAUAGAAGGCUUGACAAAAUGACAAGAAUUUUAAUGGCCUAAGGCAUUAAUUCAUCCUUAACAGGAGACAUGUCCAAUCCAUUUAGGUUUAGUGACUUGAAAUGGCAGCAUUUUCAUAUUUCCCAUCCUUACUCCAUGUCUCAUCAAGAACCAGGAUGGACUGGGGAGCAAUUAUUUCCAUUCUGGGGGUGUUUGAGGGAAAAUUUCUUCUUACGUAGAGGGUGAAGAUUCAAGGCUUACAGGUAGAUGUCAGAGGCCCUUGGGCAGGUGUUAAUUCCACUCUCCUUUUACUCUGAUGCUAAUUUCUUAACAGUCACGAGCAUACAGGUGCAGCUAGCAAUGUUGAGGAGAGCUGCGUCCCAAAUCUGGGUGAUUAAGUCACGCUUUCUCAUUUCCACGCUGUAAUUUGAGAUGUUCUUGAUUUUCAUUUCUUCUGAUCAUCAACUAGCGGUGGUACCAAACAUUUUAAUGUUUAAAACCUCUGCCCCCCACCUCCCAGACUGGUGUCAGGAUAUGUGCUUGAUCAUCCAAAAGGAGAUAUCUGUUAAGAGAGCCCUGUAGUGUAUCCUUACACACAAGUGAAAAUUCCUUUUAUAAUGCAAAUUUCCCAUCUUCCCUGUUUUACCGGUUCUGUAAAUUUUGAGGCUUUUGAACAUUGAGUUUUUUAAAAAACAAGGUAUUCUUCUAUGCCUCUGGUGUCUUGACCUCAAUUCCUCUUCCUUCCUUUCUUCCUUCCCUGUCAUUCUCAUCUUCAUCCUCCUCAUCUUUUUUUUUUUUGUGUGUUAAACCCACAAUUAAACAUUACAGCUCAGAAAACCGGUCUUCAACCUUGGCUACAUUUUAGAAUUGUAGGAGUAAUUACAAAAUAUAUGGAUGCUCCGGGCAUACCCCCAGAGAAACUGACUUAAAUGGUCCGAGGUGGGGUACUGUCAUCGAUAUUAUUUACAGGCUCCUCGAGUGAUUCUAAUUGCAGCCAGGGUUGAGGACCACCAGCCUAGAGGUAAGCAUCAGAGAAACUGAACUGAGGGAGUCUGGAUUCUCAUCCCAGCUCUGCCAUUUAUGAUGUGUCCUUUGGCAAGUUACCACUUUUCUGAGGCUCGGUUUCCUCAUCAGUAGAAUAGGGAUAUUAAUAUGUGCCAUGGAGGAGGUUGUGGUGAGGAUUAAAUGAGAUAUUCCGAAUCAAGUUCUUAGCAUAUGGUGAUCCCUUAUUAGCGUUGGUUGUUAUCUAUCCCAGGGGUCAGCAAACUGUGGUCCAUAGUCCAAAUGUAGCCCACUCCCUAUUCUUGUUAAUGAUGCUUUAUUGGGCCAUAGCCACACCCGUUGACUUACAUAUUGUUUAUGACUGCUUUUGUGUGACAGCAGCAGGGUUGAGUGGUUGUGAUGAGACUCUGUGGCCAACAAAUUCUAAAAUAUUUAUUCUGAACCUUGACAGAAAAUGUUUGCUGUAAGUUAAAACUGUAACAUCAACCUCAUUUAUGCCCCAUGGAGCGCCCAGUCUAUUAGGGGUAGCCACCUCAAAUAUCUCCCAUACAUUGCAGCAGGGAGGCAGUGUGGUGUCCCGAAGACAGUCUGGGAUUGGGUUCUUUCCUCAAGUCCUCCCUAAACCAUGCAUUUGACCUUAAGUAACCUGCUUUUCCUCUCUGAGCCUCAGUUUUCUCGUUUCUAAGGUAGAAGGGUGGGGCUAGAUGAUCUCCAAAAGUUCUUUCAGCUCUAGAAUUUUCUGAUUCUGUCCCUGGCAUUCUGUGGAGCUCUCAAAGCACAGAUCCAUCUAUUCUAUGGGAACUGGGCCAGGAGAACUUUUAAAUUGGGGAUGAUGAAAUAGCAGGCUUUCUCUUGUCCGCACUACAGCUGUUUAACAGCAAGUCCAUGCAAUUCACAGUUGCUCUUCCUUCUUCAGAGGUUCAGAGAAAGGUUUAUAAAUCCUCUGUUGUGGGAUGAAUAAUGACCCCCCAAGAUAUCCAGGUCUGAAUCCCUGGAACUGGUGAAUGUCAUCUUGUAUGGCAAAAGAAAUGUGCAGGGAUGGGAAAGAACCUCUCCAAAUCAUUCCUGAGUGAUAAUAUGAGAACAUCCAGCCCGAAAGAAAAAUUUGGACCACUCAGUAAUUGCAGCUGCUUGAAGUAGAGAAGGAAAGUAUGUAUCACGAGACAGCUGAUGAUGAGUUCCUACCUCAAUUUGAGUGCCUGGAUAUUCUGAGGACAACUUCCAGCUGGGGAGACUGAGGGAGGUCUUCAUGAAGGAGGUGUCUCAACAAAGUGGUAGGAUGAAAAAAUUUGGAGGUAUGUGUAGAUGAGUUGAUGUCCGGGGAGGGGUGCGGGAGGCGAAGCUUGUCUUCAGAGGACACUGCAUCCUCCAUGAAGACAAGGGACUUGUUUCAUUUGCCACUCUAUACCUAAUGUUUACAGCCAGACAUAGACAAGGCAUUCAAUAAUACUCAUUGUGUAAAUAACAAGUCAAAGUUAGCAUCAGCAAUGCAAACUAAUCUUGUCUGCAAAACAGCCUAUGGAUCCCAGUGCCUUGUUGGUAAACAAUAGCUGUUCUGCAUUUUUCUGAUGUGCUGGUUCCCUGGGAGUGCUGGUGGGAUAAAUUCUUCAACAACAGCCUUGGACGCCUGCUUAUUUCUUGUGUCCACAGCUUUUUAUUGAUUGCUGAGCAGAAUACAAAGAAAGAAGACAAGAUCUCUGCCAGUUCACUGAUUCCUCUGUGGGACUGGCUCUUAGUAAGCUGCACGUUUGCAUGGCUCCAGAUACUUACCUCUGUGUUCGUGUGACCCUCACCCUAAUUCCCUAGUGGUGAUGGAUAGCUGGAAUUGCGAUUCCCCUCUUACAACUGCCUGACCAGAAGUGAGGAGACUUGUUACAGGUCUCACAGCUCACGAUUGCAGAGCCAGAGAGAAAAUCUGUGUCUCCCAACCUUGCUGCAAUUCAUUCUAAGUGCACAGGCUGGGACCCUGUGAGGCCUCCGUGAACAGCUUGGUAAAUCUUAGGAGGGACGGCUUGCUGCUGUAAUUAAGGUGUGGAUUAUAGGUUUCCACUCCUCUGGGAAGGAGGAAAAAGACAAAGCAAAACAAAACAAACUAACAGAAACGCCUCUAAGGCUCUUCUGCUUUGUGUAUUGACUUGAAGGUUUCAAAGUGUACUGAGGUUUCCAUGAGAUAUGGAUGGUCUCUGCCUUGUUUGAGUUUCUGGGAAUAUCAGGAAUAAAUUUGCUUUUUUUCCCACCAUUGUUGGAAUUCUUGUUGAAUUUCUUGUGUUUAGUUCUUCUGAAUACAACCCUCUUUAAUUUGCAGUGAGUAAAAUCCAUCCUUCCAUGUCAAUUUCCCCAAUAUUUCCUUCUCCAAAUAGUCCUAGACAUUUGGGCAAAUAAGUAAUGGAUUAUAUAUUCUGAGCUGUGUGGUCAGGGCUCAUCCUUGGAAUGACCAUGAAGCAUUUGCCCACAUUUGGUUUCUUCCUUUCCUUUUUCAUCUUCCCCUUCAAAUGCUCACUUCCUUUGUGUUUUCCUUCUUUUCCAUAUGUGAAUCGAUCUUUUAGCUCCAGGAAAGCAUUUAAAAGUAAAAUUGGAUAUUCAUUCAUUCAAUGGUAUUUACUGCAGGCCUGCCAUGUGCCAGGCACUUUGCUGUUUGUAUCAGCUUUCUAGUGGUGUGUAACAAAUUACCAUAAGCUUAGUGGCUUAAACAAACACACUUGUUAUUUCACAUGCUCUGGGGGUCAGGAAUCCAGGCACGGCUUAGCUGUGUCCUCCACGCAAGGUCUCAUCAGGCUGAAAUUUAGGUGUCUGGGGAUGCUAUCUCAUGUGAUGCUUGGUGUGCUCUUCCAAGCUCACUGGUUGGUGGCAGAAUUCAUUUCUUUGUGGUUGUGUGACUGAAAUCCUCUUUGGUAGUUGGCUGGGGACCAUUCUCAACUCCCAGAGGCCACCCUCAAGUCCUUGCCGUGUGGCCUCUUUCUCUCAGAACAUGAGAGCUAACUUCUUCAAGACACUGGGCAAGAAUCUGCUGCUGCUGCUUAUCUCUCUGACUUCAUUUAAGGACUCACCUGAUUAGGCCAGCCCACCCAGGAUAAUCUCCCUUUUGAUUAAGACAAAGUCUACUGAAUAAGAACUUUAAUUAUAUCUACAAAAUGUCUUCAUCUUUCCCAUAUUUGUAACCUUAUCAUAUUAUACAGGGUGUGUAUCCCAGGGGUCAGGAAUCUUGGGGGCCAUCCUAGAAUUCUACCUACUAAAGUUAUGCAAUAGAGAUACAACUGUGAGUAAAACAUGCCUGUUCCCAGCCCUAUAACAUUUAUAUUAAGUGGGAGAGCCAGUAAAUAAUAAAUAUAUAUUUUUAAUUUGUGAUAAGUUCUAUGAAAGAAAUAAACAGAUUGAUAUGAAAAGUACUAUGCACAGAUGACAUUUAGAUGGGAUAACGUUGAUACAAAGCAAUAUGAAGGCUGAAAAGGAACAGUCAUAUAGAGAUGUGGAGAAAGAGCAUUCCAUCCAGGCUGACCAGCAAGUUCAAAAGCAUGGGGGUCAGAAAGACCUGUUCGUUUUUGAAGAGCAGAAAGGAGGCUGGUGUGCUGGGAGGAGAGUGAAGGAGGAAAUGAGGUCUGAGCGGUAGGCAGGGGCCAGAUUAAGCAGGCACUCAGAAGCCAUGGUAAAAAGUUUUGGAGAUGGGAAGCCAAAAGUAAUUUUAAUCAGUGGAGAAAUAUGAUCUGAUUUGUUUUAAGAUCUGG
rnacentral:lncRNA from 1 species